CCUUCACCCCCAAAAUUGAAACCAAACCACCUAGUUGCCGGCCGCCACCACCAGCAACACCGCCUCAACAUCGUGGAUGUUACCAACUCCCAGCUUAUAUGAAAGAUAAUCUCCAACACAUUACAUGAAAGGCACCCCCAUCGAAAGCUCAGCAAGGAGGGGAAAAAACAUAUCUGUAACAUGCAACGGAUGUGGAGAGGAUGAUGCAUGUUCUACUGGUGGGACAGUGUGCACCGAGUUCGGGUUUUCUUGAAAUGGUUUUUUUUUUUUUUUUUUUGGAUUUCGCGACUGUAUCUUUGAUGACAAAGUCUGUGCAGGUAGCAGAGGACGUUAACUGGCGGCGGCGGCGGUGGUGGUGAAUUUCGAAAAAUGUAAUAAAUAAUGUCCAUUUGGAAUAAGUUUCGAAACGUUUGUGUUUGUUUAGUACUCUCUAAAUACCAAUAGAUGAUUAGGACAUUACAUUGAUUCAUUAUGUAGUCGUUUUCAAUAAUGUUACCUCAUCUAUAGCAUAUGUUCAAGCAGUUUAAAACAAAAAUUCAAAUAAUCAUCUGUCAAAAACAAAUUCUGGAUGUUUUUUAUGUUAUCAACUCCUUGAUAUAUAAACUACUUCUUCUAGAAUAACUCUUGAUAACUAUUUUGAGAAUUCAUGACUGUUAUAGCAUUUAUCAUGGUUUCACGAAGUCAGGGCACUAACUUCCAGAAGGCCUAACAAAGCAACGAUGCCCAAGAUGCAGCAAGGGAUUUGUGAAAUGGAUGGAGCAAUGUUACGACAAAGAAAAACACGAGCAAUUUGAGGGUGAGUCAAGUGGUAUAUCAAGAUGUAUUUGUUCGGAUAAAGAUCCAAUGCCAGAUUUAUCAUGUAUGUUGAGCUAAAAUAACGGAACAACAGUAUGCGGAGAUCUCUCUCAAUAUUACUAUCCCCAAUGGAAAAGGAUAUGUAGAAGAGAAUGAAAAGCUAAAGGGCAGAGCUUCAUGCAAUUGUAUUGCUUAUCUUAGUACUAAAAACGAUCUUAUUGUAAUCGAUGUGGUCUACGGAUGUUAUUUUAAUCUUGAAGUUUUAUUUAUGUAUGAAUCCAUACGUAUUUCUUAUGAAGUUUGAAUACCGUGUUAUUCAAGUAUGAAAUAUUUUUGUUUUUGUUUAAUUAUAACUAUAUUUCCA
rnacentral:lncRNA from 1 species